CCUGUCUUGAUAUGUGUAUCUAAUGUAUACGAUGUGUUUAAAGGAGUGAAUGUUGUCAUAUUAUAUUAUUCAUGUUUAAUGGUAUUACAGAAAACUGGGAUUAUUGGUGUUUCAUGACGAACCCUUGGUAUCUGGAACAUUCUUAUCCAUGAUUGGUCGGCUCGGUUCCUUUUUCAGCCAGGACACUGAUCCUGACGGGUCGUCACAUGUCUGAGCAGCGAGGUUACACUUUUUGCCAUUAGGACAGCAGUGGAUAAAGUCCUCACAACACACCGCCUGCCAAGACAUAACAAAGCAACAUUAGUGUGGCUUGUCCAGAGAAAAAACAUACUAAAGUAUGGUACUUCCUGAUAAGCUUACAAAAUAUAUAUUUUUAAUGCCAGAUGAAUGUUCACCUAAUGGCUUUACUGUAUUGGCUUCAUACCUGAAGCUGAAGUGACACCGGUCACCUGUAACUAUGUGGUGAAACCCCUGAAGACCUGGGCCACUUAAAACCUUCAUAAGAACCAAACAAUACCUAAUCAUUUCAGCUGUGGUAUGUAAUUCCUGGUUGAAUUAUCUGGACAUGUCCAUACUUCCUCAUUGUUGUUUUGUUUGAUUUAGCCUGCUGUCAGACUGGACUGUGUAUACAGGUUGAACCAGUUUGUACUGUGGUUGGGGGAGGUUUGUGUGAUACACUGUGUGUUGUUGCAUGUAUACUAAAUAAUCUAUACUGCAUGCUUUCCUGUAUAAAAUGGUAUGAGAUUUGUGCUCUCAUUUGGAGGAUAUUGGGACAUUUCAAUCCUAAGCUGUUCAUUUUUAUCUCAUGGAUAUCAAACAUAAUCACAUGAAGCGAUGGCAUGUACUUCUUCAUUCCUUCAUCUAAGUUGCAUUCAGUAUCGUCAGUUUUCCUGCAGUUCAGCAAUGACUCUGCAGGGACUUUACCUGAGGAAGUGGACAGCAGCUCCAUCCUCCCUCUUGGGUCUUACAGCACGUGGUCCCAUCAGCACAGGCCACAGUUUCGUUACAGGGAACAACAGAGUCUAAACACAUAACAUGGAAUGAGACAGCAACAGGGUUCCUAACAAGGUUACACUUUCAUAAGAUUGAAAAUUUCAAAACCAACUGAAAUACGUGAUCCUGACAUACCCUCUGAAACAUUGUUAUCUUGGAUCGGUCGGCUCGGUUCCUUCUUCAGCCAGGGCACCGACCCUGACGGGUCUUCACAUGUCUGAGCAGCGAGGUUACACUUUUUACCAUGAGGACAGCAGUGGAUAAAGUCCUCACAACACACCGCCUGCAAAGAAACAACAUUAUUAUAAACUUCACAUUUCACUAAACGUCACUAACGCCAGCUUUAGUCCUUCCGAGUUUAUGACUGUUUGCAGAUCCCCUGACGUCCCGCCUGUUUAUGGUUAUAGAUUAGUGCCUGCCUACAGUUAUUGCACUUUACCUAUGACAGGCCUUACACAUUAGAACAAGUGAAUUUCCCUCCAUGGUUCAAUAAAGUGUGUCUUAGAUUGUCUUCUCUUAUCCUAGUUUAUGGUGUCCUGUCUUGACUUGUCAUGUCUUGUCUUAUCUUAUAAUGUCUUGCAUAACACAUUAUAGCAUUAUCUGUACGUCUGGUGUUAUCUUGUCCUGCCUGUUCUUACAUUUUCUGCUCUAAUCUUAUUUGUAUUAUCUUGUAUUGGCCUACAUUAUCUUAUCUUGAAUUUUCUUGUGUUUUAUUAUCUUAUCUGCUCUUGUCUUGUCCACUAUUAUCCUAUCCUGCCUUGUAGUAUCUUGUAUUAGGAUAUCUCAUCUUAUAUUAUCUCAUCUUAUAGGGCCAGAGCCAUAUCCCCCUGUAGUUCUUGCCUGGCUGGUAGAGUCUGGCCUUGUAUUAUCUUGUCAUAUUGUACCUCAUCUUAUCUUAUCUGCUCCCUCUGGUUCAGUUGCUAUUUAGACCUUUUAAUAAAUCUCUAAACCUGCACUUGUGUUCUUGUCAUUUAUAUGCCAGAACUACCACGUAACUACGAUACCCAUCAGCCACUGCUACGCACAUGAUCACAUCACAUGACUGGUUACACCUGACUCACACUCGACGCCCCUUCAAGAAGUAUUUUAAGGACGGGUUUUCCAGUCUGGCUGGAGUCUUUCUCCCACCCUCCCUAC
ensembl:lncRNA